AUCGAACGCUGGCGGCAUGCCUAACACAUGCAAGUCGAACGAGUGGCGGACGGGUGAGUAAUGUCUUGGAAACUGCCUGAUGGAGGGGGAUAACUACUGGAAACGGUAGCUAAUACCGCAUACCAUCAGAUGUGCCCAGAUGGGAUUAGCUUGGUGGUGGGGUAACGGCUCACCAAGGCGACGAUCCCUAGCUGGUCUGAGAGGAUGACCAGCCACACUGGGACUGAGACACGGUCCAGACUCCUACGGGAGGCAGCAGUGGGGAAUCUUGCACAAUGGGCGCAAGCCUGAUGCAGCCAUGCCGCGUGUGUGAAGAAGGUCUUCGGAUUGUAAAGCACUGUAAGUUGGGAAGCGUUACCAACAGAAUAAGCACCGGCUAACUUCGUGCCAGCAGCCGCGGUAAUAC
rnacentral:rRNA from 1 species